CGGCGCAGUAGCUCCGGUACGCAGGCGCACCCGUGGCAGGGCAUGUCGGGAACUGUAGUUUUCCCGGCCCAGGAGGGCCCUCAGCCCUGGGCGGGACCCAGGCCGGCAUCCGGCGGCGCUCAGGGAAUGCGUAGCGCCGUGAACCGAAUGGCGGCAGGCUCCACUGUGCUCGCGAGCGGGGCACGCCGGGAUAUGUAGUUUCCGGCGCCUGCCCUCCGGGGGGUCCUGUGCUGCCCACUUCACAGUGACUUGUCUCCGCCUGGUGAACUCGCGGUGUUCUGCUAAUCUUGCGGAGCCUCAAUGUGAGAUGCAGAGACUGCCCAUCAAACCACAGCCAUAUUCAUCAAGCUUUGAGCCGAUCCGGUGAAGAGAAAUGAGCACUGCAUACAUUAUUCAGAGAAAGGGACCAAAUAAAGCUUUUAAUAGGAAA